UAUAUAUGGCUGUGACAGAUUUUCUAACCUGAAUAGUCGUCAUAAGCAGCUUUAACAAUUCAUAGGUCGACGUUUUUUCUUGUCAAACCUUUAUUUUUAUGCAAAAAUACAUCAAUUUUGGCAUUACGAAACGGCAUAGUAAGAGAAAUAAACGACUGAAGUCGAUAACGAAUAAUUUCAGCUCAAGAAUCAAAAGAUCAAAAGAGUGGAGGAAGCCAGAAGAAGAGAAAGAAAAUAAAUGGCCGUAAAAACACCGACAUGGUUAAACCUAUGCUUUGUGGAGAAGAUUCUGCGAAAGUCGGAAAUGACAAUUCGAUUCAGGUGAUCGAUAUAUUUUCGAAACUGGCCACGAUGAAGGGUGACAACAACACUAGCGAUAUGAUUAGGAUUACUGUCGAAUUUUCGCGCGGUUCUAAGAUUAAAGAGAAAAAAUCAAUUAUUAUCAAACUUUCGCGUGAAGGUGUUCAACAGAAAAUGAUAAGAUAAUUUAAUAUGUACAAGAUUUUUAAUAAAGAAAGGAGGAGAAGUUAAU